UAAUAGAUAAGAGAUAAGUACGAAAUACGAAGUAGUUGUGACAAGUAUAGAUCUGAUAUGUUGAGAUCUCGAGUGUUACUAAUAUAUAUGUAUGUUGUAUGUGAUCAAUACAACUCGGAACAUUCACAACAUCUUCUUCCUUAGUUUACAGUAAGUUUCAGUUCAGUUUAUUUACUUGCAUAAGUUUAUUGCUGUUUAGUGAUUUUGAUGGCUUGAUGCAGUCAUGUAUAAGCAUAUGUUCUUACCGAGUCCUUGAUUUUUAAUCAGGAGUGUGGAAUUGCUUACAGUUGUUUAACCCUCUCCUUUGCUCUUUUGAGCCGCUCUCUUCUUGGACCAGUGAGUGUUGUGUUUUUUUGUUUCAGAUUGUAAGCUUUCUUUGAAAUCUGUGUUAUGGUCUCAAGUUGUGAAGCAAGUUGGUAAAGUUUUAGACUGUGUUUUUUUGGCAAUAUAAUCUUCUUAAUCUAACUCUAUGUGAUGCUAUUGGUCUCUGCAUAUUAAAAGAUCAGAAAAAGCUCCAAGGACAGCUUGAAUCAGAACGAGAGGCGCUUUACGGGUCAAAACCAGUUCUAAGUCUUACAAUAAACAGAAACUAACAUAUCAUUAUAGUGAUGAGUAUAUUCUCUUAAUUUCAUUGUUGAACAAAUUCUUUUCUUCACCUGCGUGAAGAAGAGGGCUUGAUGUUGCUAGACUUCCCUCAAAGAAGCAGUCAAUGAUUCCAACGCUGUCGGUAUCAUCAGGUUUCUGCUGAUCAAAGAUAGAGAUUGGCAAUAUCUGUGGAGAGGCUUGACCGAGUUAGCGACAUAAUCAGAGAUAGUAGACGAAAUAUCUUGCUGUAUCAGUUCUUCAAGAUAUGAGCCAGCACGACAAACUCUCCUUCACUCGCAUAGCAAGCUUCAUGGUGUGGAUGAGGAUGAGGUUUUCAAGGCUAUCUCUUUCCCCCUUUGUUGCUUGGUGUGAUUUCCCACACAGCUGCAUAAAUAUCUUUAUGGUCCUCCUCCUUUAGAAUACAAUAGUAUCACCUUUCUUUAAUCUUCUUUAAUGUGUUAAUGUCGGAAACUUUUUGCCUAGAAAGAAACUCUAUGUCUCCUUAAAUACUCUCUACUGGUACUGAUUUAGUUGCAUCUCUUGUGUCUCAAUCAAAAACAGAUGGGGAGAGAAAGGAUCAGCGACAACAGACGCAUACACAACUUUCA